rnacentral:snRNA from 1 species
AGAAGUGAGGGUGAUCUAGCUGUAAUAUUGCCAUGUUGAUUCAGCUGAUAUGGCUGGCUAAGCAGGUAUGCCUUUCCUUGUUCAUUGCUCCACGUGUGUCCCUCCUGAAGCUGUGCACUCAGUGGAAGAGAAUGAUCAUCCCAGGUAGAAGGAGUACUCUUCUCCAUCAUAAUAUUGUCCUCCUUGUUUGCUCCUAGCAUCUGUUUCUCAAAGGCAAUGGAAAACAAAGACCUAGUAAAAAUCAGCUCCAUCCAGAAAUCACUCUCAUAAUCU